rnacentral:rRNA from 1 species
GGGUUGUGAGGUUAAGCGACUAAGCGUACACGGUGGAUGCCCUGGCAGUCAGAGGCGAUGAAGGACGUGCUAAUCUGCGAAAAGCGUCGGUAAGGUGAUAUGAACCGUUAUAACCGGCGAUGUCCGAAUGGGGAAACCCAGUGCAAUUCGUUGCACUAUCGUUAACUGAAUACAUAGGUUAACGAGGCGAACCGGGGGAACUGAAACAUCUAAGUACCCCGAGGAAAAGAAAUCAACCGAGAUUCCCCCAGUAGCGGCGAGCGAACGGGGAGCAGCCCAGAGUCUGAAUCAGCUUGUGUGUUAGUGGAACGGUCUGGAAAGUCCGACGGUACAGGGUGAUAGUCCCGUACACCAAAAUGCACAGGUUGUGAACUCGAAGAGUAGGGCGGGACACGUGGUAUCCUGUCUGAAUAUGGGGGGACCAUCCUCCAAGGCUAAAUACUCCUGACUGACCGAUAGUGAACCAGUACCGUGAGGGAAAGGCGAAAAGAACCCCGGUGAGGGGAGUGAAAAAGAACCUGAAACCGUGUACGUACAAGCAGUGGGAGCACCUUCGGGUGUGACUGCGUACCUUUUGUAUAAUGGGUCAGCGACUUAUAUUCUGUAGCAAGGUUAACCGUAUAGGGGAGCCGCAGGGAAACCGAGUCUUAACUGGGCGUUAAGUUGCAGGGUAUAGACCCGAAACCCGGUGAUCUAGCCAUGGGCAGGUUGAAGGUUGGGUAACACUAACUGGAGGACCGAACCGACUAAUGUUGAAAAAUUAGCGGAUGACUUGUGGCUGGGGGUGAAAGGCCAAUCAAACCGGGAGAUAGCUGGUUCUCCCCGAAAGCUAUUUAGGUAGCGCCUCGUGAAUUCAUCUUCGGGGGUAGAGCACUGUUUCGGCUAGGGGGUCAUCCCGACUUACCAACCCGAUGCAAACUACGAAUACCGAAGAAUGUUAUCACGGGAGACACACGGCGGGUGCUAACGUCCGUCGUGAAGAGGGAAACAACCCAGACCGCCAGCUAAGGUCCCAAAGUCAUGGUUAAGUGGGAAACGAUGUGGGAAGGCACAGACAGCCAGGAUGUUGGCUUAGAAGCAGCCAUCAUUUAAAGAAAGCGUAAUAGCUCACUGGUCGAGUCGGCCUGCGCGGAAGAUGUAACGGGGCUAAACCAUGCACCGAAGCUGCGGCAGCGACACUAUGUGUUGUUGGGUAGGGGAGCGUUCUGUAAGCCUGCGAAGGUGUGCUGUGAGGCAUGCUGGAGGUAUCAGAAGUGCGAAUGCUGACAUAAGUAACGAUAAAGCGGGUGAAAAGCCCGCUCGCCGGAAGACCAAGGGUUCCUGUCCAACGUUAAUCGGGGCAGGGUGAGUCGACCCCUAAGGCGAGGCCGAAAGGCGUAGUCGAUGGGAAACAGGUUAAUAUUCCUGUACUUGGUGUUACUGCGAAGGGGGGACGGAGAAGGCUAUGUUAGCCGGGCGACGGUUGUCCCGGUUUAAGCAUGUAGGCUGGUUGUCCAGGCAAAUCCGGAUAAUCAAGGCUGAGGUGUGAUGACGAGGCACUACGGUGCUGAAGUAACAAAUGCCCUGCUUCCAGGAAAAGCCUCUAAGCAUCAGGUAACAUCAAAUCGUACCCCAAACCGACACAGGUGGUCAGGUAGAGAAUACCAAGGCGCUUGAGAGAACUCGGGUGAAGGAACUAGGCAAAAUGGUGCCGUAACUUCGGGAGAAGGCACGCUGGUGUGUAGGUGAAGUCCCUGCGGAUGGAGCUGAGACCAGUCGAAGAUACCAGCUGGCUGCAACUGUUUAUUAAAAACACAGCACUGUGCAAACACGAAAGUGGACGUAUACGGUGUGACGCCUGCCCGGUGCCGGAAGGUUAAUUGAUGGGGUUAUCCGUAAGGAGAAGCUCUUGAUCGAAGCCCCGGUAAACGGCGGCCGUAACUAUAACGGUCCUAAGGUAGCGAAAUUCCUUGUCGGGUAAGUUCCGACCUGCACGAAUGGCGUAAUGAUGGCCAGGCUGUCUCCACCCGAGACUCAGUGAAAUUGAACUCGCUGUGAAGAUGCAGUGUACCCGCGGCAAGACGGAAAGACCCCGUGAACCUUUACUAUAGCUUGACACUGAACAUUGAGCCUUGAUGUGUAGGAUAGGUGGGAGGCUUUGAAGCGUGGACGCCAGUCUGCGUGGAGCCAACCUUGAAAUACCACCCUUUAAUGUUUGAUGUUCUAACGUUGGCCCCUUACCGGGGUUGCGGACAGUGUCUGGUGGGUAGUUUGACUGGGGCGGUCUCCUCCCAAAGCGUAACGGAGGAGCACGAAGGUUAGCUAAUCCUGGUCGGACAUCAGGAGGUUAGUGCAAUGGCAUAAGCUAGCUUGACUGCGAGCGUGACGGCGCGAGCAGGUGCGAAAGCAGGUCAUAGUGAUCCGGUGGUUCUGAAUGGAAGGGCCAUCGCUCAACGGAUAAAAGGUACUCCGGGGAUAACAGGCUGAUACCGCCCAAGAGUUCAUAUCGACGGCGGUGUUUGGCACCUCGAUGUCGGCUCAUCACAUCCUGGGGCUGAAGUAGGUCCCAAGGGUAUGGCUGUUCGCCAUUUAAAGUGGUACGCGAGCUGGGUUUAGAACGUCGUGAGACAGUUCGGUCCCUAUCUGCCGUGGGCGCUGGAGAAUUGAGGGGGGCUGCUCCUAGUACGAGAGGACCGGAGUGGACGCAUCACUGGUGUUCGGGUUGUCAUGCCAAUGGCACUGCCCGGUAGCUAAAUGCGGAAGAGAUAAGUGCUGAAAGCAUCUAAGCACGAAACUUGCCCCGAGAUGAGUUCUCCCUGAGACUUUAAGUCUCCUGAAGGAACGUUGAAGACGACGACGUUGAUAGGCCGGGUGUGUAAGCGCAGCGAUGCGUUGAGCUAACCGGUACUAAUGAACCGUGAGGCUUAACCUUACAACGCCGAAG